UGGGGAAUUUUGGACAAUGGGGGAAACCCUGAUCCAGCCAUCCCGCGUGUGCGAUGAAGGCCUUCGGGUUGUAAAGCACUUUUGGCAGGAAAGAAACGUCAUGGGUUAAUACCCCGUGAAACUGACGGUACCUGCAGAAUAAGCACCGGCUAACUACGUGCCAGCAGCCGCGGUAAUACGUAGGGUGCAAGCGUUAAUCGGAAUUACUGGGCGUAAAGCGUGCGCAGGCGGUUCGGAAAGAAAGAUGUGAAAUCCCGGAGCUCAACUUUGGAACUGCAUUUUUAACUACCGGGCUAGAGUGUGUCAGAGGGAGGUGGAAUUCAGCGUGUAGCAGUGAAAUGCGUAGAUAAGCGGAGGAACACCGAUGACAAAGGCAGCCUCCUGGGAUAACACUGACGCUCAUGCACGAAAGCGUGGGGAGCAAACAGG
rnacentral:rRNA from 1 species